rnacentral:lncRNA from 1 species
CAUAAUUUACCACAACCUUCGUGUGUGCUCUUCGAACAUCUCUCCUCCGCCUUCGCAGUAUGUACCUCUUCGGAAUAUGUGUGACGUCAUUCCAUACUAGCACUGUGAUCGCAUGUCUACAAAGUAUUUUUCAAAACUCAAACAAGUGGCAGGUGUAAACAACAUCACAUUUAUCUCUCGUGAAUGACAUGGUAAAUGUCUUUUUCCUCCUAGAACCCUUCUACAUAACUGUCUUUCUUACUUCGUAGGUCGCACCAAUACAUCUGUCCAAAGUAGAUAGCACAUCUUAGUACACCUUUCCCGUGAACUCUUCUUGAACUUCACGAAAUUUCAAAAUUGUGUAAACUGAUUGAAACUAUUGCUCAAUUUCAAAUUGUGUUGCACAUGACACCAUUUGCGAGAACGACUUGAAUCGGCUUCGACUUCCUUCUCAACCUUAUUUCGAAGGGCGCUUUCGUACUGUUUUACAAACUACUUUAAUGAGGAUUUAGAAUGAACAUAGCCAUCAAAAAAUGCAUUCAUACUCUCGCUUCUCUGUAUCGUUGACAUCCCAGCCCAAAAUGUGGUUUUCAGGAAGCAAGGAACCCAACGUCCUCUGUUCUCAUACAAUCAUUAUCAUGCAAGUCAUACAUAUCAAUUAUCGUUCUCCAACCGUUUUCAAAUUCUUCAUUGGAUUGUGAAUCAUACACUGAUCUGUAUAUAGCCCCAAAUAUCAAAUGCUUAUUCACUUGGUAGCUAAAUUUCUUCGAUAAUUUCUUCAAAAUGUGCCACAAACAUCAUCUAUGCUUGGUAUUUGGAAAGACAAUUUGGGCUGCAUUUUGCAUUGCCCUGUCUUGAUCGGUAAUUAUAUCAUGUGGAGCUUGAUCAUGCAUACAUUGAAGCCAUGUUUUGAACAACUAUACAAAAAUAUCUGUGCCAUAAGUGGCAUCAAAUGAAACACGCCAAACUCCUUGUACGCCUGACUACAUCGAUUAUCUGCCCAAACCACAUUUCUCAACCAUGACUUGUCAUCCAAAUCAAUAUUAAAAUAAAAUCUUGAUCACUGUGCUUGUAUUUUUUGAAAAGUAUGAUUGAAUUGCUACAACACCUCCUUUUCCAAGAUGUAAUCGCCUCACGCGUUCUACAUAGUUCCGACAAUCAUUUUCUAUACAAGUCAUGUUCUCAUAUCCACCAGCUUUUACAACUGCGGAGUUGUAACUUUUAUGCAGUGCAAUUCUUUCCAAAUCAUUCACCUCAAGCUUUUGUUUCAUAGCUACACUCAAUUAUUCUAUUGCAUCAAUAUAAUCUGGAUUUAAAAGGACUUGUAUCAUGAUUGUGUUCGAGGUUUAUUGUAUUAAUUCUCAAGUUUCCUAGAACAUCAUAAGUUGUAAAUAUUAUGGCUUUACAACCCAUCUUAACUAUUGGGUACGGCUUCCAAGAACAACUACUAUUAUCGAUGCUUUCACCUUCACAGCUAAAUGUCAACGUCAAAUAUCUUAAAACUCCACCAUCCCCCUUUUUUCGAAUUCUUUUUUUUUUUUUUUAAUUGGAAAACCCACUGUGUAAGCAUAUUUUUUUGUAGAAAUCAUAUGUAUCAUAACAUUCCCACCUCGAGUACAAUUACACCAUCUCCCCUUGAUGUUUCACUGCCAACUUCAUUCACAGACUCCUUAACAUUUUUAUUCUCUAAUGGCUCCAAAACAUCGUUGUGCUUAUCUUCAAUGUCGUCCAUAUUUUAACUUACUGUAAAAAUAAAUAAAUAAAUAAAAUAAAAGGGUCAUGUUCAGGCCAACGUAUUGAACAACAAUCAUUUCAAACGGAGUUAGGCUAAGAUUAUACUAACUUCUACAUCGUUUAUAACAUUUGUAGUGUGCAUACUGUAGAAUUAGUAGUUGGAAAGGUCAAAUUACAAAAAUUAGUGAGCAACAUAGUGCCUAAUGGAUUAUCGUCGUUUACCCAAUUGUUUUCCUCCUACAUAAAUAAUCUUAUGCGUAAUUCUAUAUAUCCAUUUCUCCCUAAACUAAUUUCAGUCCAGCAUUUCACUAAGCCAAGCUCCUCUAGCCUGGGUAUUCUGGAACGGAUAGAAACUGGCCAUGUCGACUGCCUGUAAAAGUGGCCUGCUCCGAGCUUAGAUAUCCAUUUAUCAGCAUAACGACUCAUCUUAACUGCCUCCUGAAAUCUGGGGUUUAGCCUAGUGCAUGGAUAGAAUCAUGGGAAAUUGUCGACCUCAAAAGUCAUUCACGUCGAUUUUCUAAAAAAAUAUUGUAUGCUAACAUUCACUUUCAACUGUAUGUUACGUUAAAGGAAAGCCAUAUUUCAUUACUAGAAUAAUAACAGAGCAAAAGUUACAAACAGAUGAGUACACAAGUUACUACUUUAGCAUAAAUCUCGUAAUUACUGACUUGACUCUUACCGAAGACGUGCGCAACGUUGUCGAAUUUCUCACCGAUUUGCCCAAAACAAAUUCCUGUUCUUCACUGUUAUUGGAGUGGUAAGGGUCGCGCUACUUAUGUCGAAAUUCUCCAAAAGAUCAGGGCACGACGUUGCCAGAUUUCUCACCUACUUGUCGGCAUCUUCAAAGUUCCGGCAUCAGAUAGUGGGUAUGUUUUAGAAAAAAAUUUAGUGCUAUGUCGAUGCAAAGAAAGAGUGAGGUGUUGUUUUCUUUUG